rnacentral:misc_RNA from 1 species
GGAAGUAAAGGUCGUAACAAGGUUUCCGUAGGUGAACCUGCGGAAGGAUCAUUACAGAGUUCAUGCCCUCACGGGUAGAUCUCCCACCCUUGAAUAUUUAUACCUUAGUUGCUUUGGCAGGCCGUUAGGCUCCGGCCCGACUACCGGCCCCGGCUGGUAAGCGCCCGCCAGAGGACCCAAAACCCUGAAUAUUAGUGUCGUCUGAGUACUAUAUAAUAGUUAAAACUUUCAACAACGGAUCUCUUGGUUCUG